rnacentral:rRNA from 1 species
GAUGAACGCUGGCGGCGUGCCUAACACAUGCAAGUCGAGCGAACACACGGGGAGCUUGCUCCCCUGCCGUUGGCGGCGGGCGGGUGAGUAACACGUGGAUAACCUACCUCUAAGACUGGGAUAACUACGGGAAGCCGGAUAUAAUACCGGAUCAUAUGUUGAACGGGAUGGAUCAAUAGAGCUAGACGGUUUUGCCGUCUCUUUUAGAUGUUUCCGCGUCGGAUUAGCUAGUUGGUAAGGUAACGGCCUACCAAGGCAACGAUGCGUAGCUGACCUGAGAGGAUGAUCAGCCACACUGGAACUGAGACACGGUCCAGACUCCUACGGGAGGCAGCAGUGGGGAAUCUUGCACAAUGGGCGAAAGCCUGAUGCAGCAAUGCCGCGUGGGUGAUGAAGGUCUUCGGAUUGUAAAGCUCUGUUGUUGGGAAAGAACAGAAGUGUAAGUAAACAUGGACGUCUUGACGGUACCCAAACAAUAAGCAACGGCUAACUACGUG